rnacentral:rRNA from 1 species
AGCGAACGCUGGCGGCAUGCUUAACACAUGCAAGUCGCACGGGCAGUAGCGAUACUGUCAGUGGCGGACGGGUGAGUAACGCGUAGGAAUCUAUCCUUGGAUGGGGGACAACCGUGGGAAACUACGGCUAAUACCGCAUGACGCCUGAGGGCCAAAGCUCGCCAAGGCAACUUGGUUAGCGUCUGGGGAGGAGCCUGCGUCUGAUUAGGUAGUUGGUGGGGUAAAGGCCUACCAAGCCUACGAUCAGUAGCUGGUCUGAGAGGAUGAUCAGCCACAU